GGAGGGUGUGACUAGUGACAGAGUGAGGGAGGGAAGGGGUGACUAGUGAGAGUGAGGGAGGUGGUGAUUAGUGACAGAGGGAGGAAUGGGGUGACUAUCACUGUGUCACCCCCUUCCUCACUCUGUCACUAGUCACCCUCUCCCUCCCUCACUCGGUCACUAUUCACCCCCUCUCUCACUCUGUCACCAGUCAUUCCCUCACUCUGUCACCAGUCAUCUCUUCCUUCCCUCACUCUGCCACUAUUCAUCCCUUCCCUCAC